rnacentral:rRNA from 1 species
UACGAGGGGGGCAAGCGUUGUUCGGAAUUAUUGGGCGUAAAGGGCGCGUAGGCGGUGCGGUAAGUCACCUGUGAAACCUCUAGGCUCAACCUAGAGCCUGCAGGCGAAACUGCCGUGCUUGAGGGUGGGAGAGGUGCGUGGAAUUCCCGGUGUAGCGGUGAAAUGCGUAGAUAUCCGGAGGAACCCCAGAGGCGAAGGCGGCGCCCUGGCUCGCAACUGACGCUCAGACACGACAGCAUGGGGAGCGAACGGG